AUGAUUUUUGUCCAAAGACAAUAAAUAAAAAAAAAAAAUCUGUUCUUAUCAGUUUAAUAUCCGAUACAUCCCACAGGGGGACCCGUAUAUAUUAAAUUUAUUUUUGGAGAUGGAACCGGGACUUCCUCUGUCCACUCCACGCAUUGACCUGGUAUUGCAGUAUCUCCGGGAACAGUGCACGAGAG